UGCUUAUAGUUCUGUUUAUGUUAGGAUUUAUUUGUAUCAAAGCAAAUUUUCAUUUCCAGAUUUGGGAAAUAGAUGGGUAAAAGAUAAAGAUAAAGAUAAAACUUUCAUGAUCGAUAACUGCACUGACAAAGAGAAGAGGUAUAGUAUACCAAGAUGUGGUGCAUAUAAAAUUUUCCCUUUUUAGAAGCUGUGGUUUGAGUUAUUUACUAGUACAGGUAAUCUAUUCCUAUUUAUGCAGCUUAAGUGUUUCAAACAUCUUUCGGGGUCAUUAAUUGGCUUUAGUAAGAGUAAUGGUGAAGCACACUUAAAACUCUUUCCACUAAAUACAUCUAGAAGUGCAGAAUAUGUAAGUAAGUACACAAACUAGAAGCACUUCAGAAUCAGCAGGUACUAUACUUUGCAUUUUGAUUUUCAUUUUCAUGCUGACGGGGAAAGUACAUCUGAUAAAGAAAGACAGGAGCUGUUAGAAUGUUAAUCAAAAUAUUUAACAAAAUACUAAAAAGUAUGUCAAGAUCAGUAUAAUUUGAUUUCAUCCUUGUUAAGCAAAUAUUUAGUGCAUAGAGGACGAUCUAAUUAUAUUCUAAACUGAAAGGAAAGCUUUGACUGAUCAGGCCCCCAAUGUGUGCAUUUGGAUGGCCAAGUGAGCGUUGGAAGGAGAAUUAUCUCUCCUCCUGGGUGAAGGAGUAAAUUUACUGCCAGUAAUGCUAGACUGGAUAUAUUUUAAGUGUGUUAGACUAUUCCUGAAUAAAAAAGAUGAUCAACUUGUAGUCACUGGAUCUUUCAGCAGCUUUUGAUAUUAUUAAUCAUAGUAUCCUACUGAAUCAGACUCAUCAGAUUGGACCAGAACACAGUAGGUCACAGUGGUUCAAUUCCUUUCCAUCUUUCCCUAUGUCAACUUGCCUGGGGAUUGAGCUCUGCUGGGUCUCUUAUGUCCCACAGUGAAGAAAUAUGAUGUAGGUAAGUGCCUUUUCAGCUGUUGCACUAAACUUGUGGAGGUUUUGUCAGGAUUUGCAAAUUACACUGCAUUUCUUUAAGUGAUAACAGGAUCAGGCUUAACCAAAGAUGUCAAUGUAAUUGGGGUGUGGCAGCUAGUGCUUAGACUGUAGUACAUAGAUUGUAGUAACUCUGUGUUGAGUUGAUGCAGGUUGGAGGUUGGUGGAUGAAGAUAGGAGAGAGAGAGAGUUUGUACAUACUGUAAAUACUGCGGACUCAAGGCAGCUAACACUCCACGGCUUCUGAACCAAAGUUUACCCUGCAGUGUAAUAACGUGCCACUCAGGGUAUCUUCAAAUGUCCAUCUGAACAGCAAUUUGAGAAGCUCAAACUGGAGAAUGGCAGGGCUCCUGAAGACCAUGGGUGAACCAGUUGAAAAUAAAGACUCCUGCAUUGAAUAGGUGGUAGAAUGAAACCAGGUGAACAAAGGAAGAAAAAGAGAGCUGUCUUUCUCUCUAUAAUCUGUCUGGGAGAAUAUCCUUAUCAUUCUGUACCAGUCCCCAUCCCCAGUAGUUAUGAGGAGGGAGGGAAGGCAACAACUAUUCAGGGCAGUGUCGUGUGUUAAUCACAAGCUCAUAACUGGCAGUAAAGCUGAAAGGCCCACGUCUGCCGUGGUGAAUAAUUUCCAUGCCAAGGCCCAGAACAGGCAAGCCAUGUCAUUUGUAACAUCUGCCUCGAGAAACCCCAGCCAAAAUGAGCUAGUUAGAAAGUUUACAUUGCCUCUCUCAUUCUAAUCCAUGAAAAGUUGGCUUUGAAAGGCUCAGGGGUUUUGACAUCCUGAAAGUGUUUUAUCAGACAGAUAAAAUGGGAUGAUUUGAAUGCUUAAAAAGAUGACAUUUCUAUGCCUGUGCCUUUAUCGGGACUAUGUGACUUUUAUUAGAUAAAUAAAUUGUUUUCCUAAAGACAUUGCGUUAAAAGCUUUGGGAUUUGCAGUUGUUUUAUGUUUGGCAAUAUCUGAUUUACAAUGGCAUCAAAAUUAUAUGUGAAGAUGUAAUGAAAUCCAAAUGCUAUCUAUCCAUAGUUUUUUGUCUUCUUCAUUAUUAUUAUGCAAAUAUAAAGUAUACUUUUAUUAAGUAUUGUUAAUUGAUUUAAAUGUGUUGCUUGAUUUUAUUGAAUUAUUGAAUUUCUGGGCAUUGAAUUUUGCCAGUCUCUGUAAGCCGCCUUGAGUCCCCUCAGGUGAGAAA